AUUACAUAAUUGCCUGAUUGCGAUUAUUUGAGCCAGAUCGCAAUUAUUUGUAUUCAAUAUUUUGAUUCCAAAAUCAUUUGUUUCCAAUCUGAACAAGGGAUUUUUACUCCAACGUUAGAAAUGUCUCAACAAAUUGCUUGCGAAUUAUGUCAGUUUCAAUCAGUUAGGAUUUGUAACAUAUGCUCCACAUGACACUCCGGUGCUCCACCUCGCCGGUGUACUAACUACCAUUUGGGGAUUGAUGGCAGCAGCACAUCCUGACGACGCACCUGUUCCCAAUCACCAAUUCAGUUGUUUAUUUCUGUGUUGCACCCACACUGCACCCUACGGUCUGUACCAGAUACCGUGUGGUGCUGUCUUUUGAUAUUCCAUUAAUAUAUACACAAUAUUCUUACUAUCGCCAUUGUUAUUUUAUUUUCCUUCUGCCUCACUUUUACGCACUUGCGACCAGAGCCAUUAGGCAAUAUAGGCGGUCACCCAAUCUUAUGAUGUUCAUAAUAAAUAUUUUAUUAAUAAUGUUACUAAAAGCUCGGGUGAGCACUUUUAGACAAAUCAUUGCGUGGACCUUACUAAACAUGAUACAGUUCACAAAGACGGUAGCUACAAAAAUACCCAGACCCACUACAUACAUUAAAAGGAUAGCUCUAUAGACUAUAGUUCAUACAUGACAAAUUUCAGAAAAAGAUGAUAAAUACAUAAGAAUAGAAUGAAUAAAAUACGAAAACAUAAGAAAUAUACACAGUAGCGCAUCACACACUAAUUUGCAUAAUGCCGCCCGUGAUAUAGUGGGAGACCUCUAGUACCGUAAUUAUCACAGUAUUCACACACACAGACUCCUCCACACUUCUCUCCAAAAUGCUCACUUUUUAGAAACAAGAGACAAUUUUUUUUAAUUUGUGGCGCUCUAAACUUUAGUAAUGCUCAGUUGCUUAGGCCUAUAUUUUAGGCAUUUUGCAUGACAAAAAUGUGCUGUCAAAAAUAAAAUACCAAAUAUUAUAAUCUCUAUGGUAAUAUUGACUUCACAUAUUUGGAUUGCCUCUUGUCUGUCAUAACGUCAAAAAGUCUCAUCAGAGUCGAAGUCAGCUAUGCUUUUUAGUUAAUUGAAUUGAAAUCAGAAUUUUAAUAGAAAUGGCAUCGAAACGCCAUCUGUCUGGAGCUGAGAAGAGGAAGAGGAAAAUGUUUGAGGAAGAGAGAUAAGCUCAAAGUAAAGGUAUGUUCUUCUGACUUCUAUAAAUAAUGCGUUAUUUUUUGCUGUAUUAGUUUUAAUACAAAUAAAUGUAACAAUACAAUGAUCGCAGACAGACAGACAUGGAACAAUUGGGCCACAUUCAGCGUGUUAACAAUUAUCUACCCAUGCAUUUUGUAUAGAUUUUUUACCCUCUGAUGAAGUUAUAGCACGUUGCUUUCUCUUCCUUCAUAAAAUUGUAAUGACAGUUUUUUACUCGAGUGCGGCCCCACAACCCCACGGGCCAGCACUGCUUGCGACACUCGCACUGUCACAGAGUAAUCCGUCCAACCCAAGGCACUUUUUUCAGUUUUCGUGUUUGGUUUUCAGUUUUAGUUUUAGUUACUGUUUGCUCCUUACAACUCGUCCUGGGAUGAGCCAGUGCGGGCAUGAUGGGGAAUCCGGGCUCCGGAGCUAGAAGAUAGACUCUAUGGAGGCACAGAUCGCCGGGUUAGUAACAGCUUUCAGCGACAUGAUGACUCAUCUGGCUGCACGGUCGGGAUGGGAGAGCCCUGUUGAGCCUGCCAGGGCGGUGGCACCUUCCCUGGUCGACCGUGUGAAGUCUAGUUGUGUUCAGAUGAGGGAACUCCGGAGAUCCCUGCCUGAAAAAUCAAACUGCAAACCAGAGGGUUUUCACGGUUUCCUUCUUCAGUGUGAGUUGUACUUCGGGGACCAGCCAGUCUCUGAUUACAACAAGGUAACCGCAAUAAUCUCUCUCCUCACUGGGCGCCCACUCAAAUGGUUAACAGUUCUGGGGAACUGAGGUUGUUUCCCAGAUUCAAUGCGCUAUUCUGCGGCUUCUGUGUCUGAGGCAGUGUAAUAACACAGCCUCGGAGUAAGCCUUCUGCGUCUGAGGCAGUGUAAUAGGAUGGCUUCGGAGUACGCCCAGUCGUUCCAGACGUUGGCGCCAUCCAGCCAGUGGAACGAGACAGCUCUGAGGACUGUUUUCCGUAAGCGUUUGUGGAUUGAGGUCCAAAUCUCCCACGUUCUUGGAUGGAACCGGAGCCAGAAUCACCAGGCUUCCCGCGGAGGAGAGAGAACGCUGGUGUCGUAAGGGCCUUGCCUGUUCUGCUCCUAGACCUAGAUGGUGAGCAGGAAGGGGCGCUGAUUGAUUCCGGGGCCGCAGGAAGCUUCAUUGAUCAGUCCUUAGUCACUGCUCUCCAGUUGCUGUUGCGCCGUCUGAGGUCCUCGAUGCACAUUCAGGCUUUGGACGGUCGUCCGUGGGGACCGGCUGGAUCACCCAUGUGACCUGCCCACUCUCAACGUCAAAGACAUCAAGAGAGACUGGAACUUCUGGUCAUAUUGUUGUCCAUACACAUCCUGGGUCUUCCGUGGCUCCAACAGCACCACCCCAACAUCUAUCGCUACCCGAUGCCACUCGUCUCACCAACCACAGAGCAACUAAGGGGGACAUACGAAGCUGGACCUCUGGAGCACAUACAACGCGAAGGGGGAGAAGUGCGUGUUCCACACAUCCACCGUAUCCUAACACCCAGGGAUACCACAUCGCUCCGGAAGGCGUGAAGAUGGAAGAGCUGGAGGCAGUGAGGUCAUGACCAGUCCUUAAAACCAUCAAAGAACUACAAAUCUUCAACAGGUUUUCCAACUUCUACCGCCGGUUCAUCCAAGGCUUCAGCACCAUUGCAGCAACACUCUCAACCCCAGACAUGCCCUUUUCUUCGAGCGCAUCCAGUUCAACCUGACAUUCUACCCCGAACCAAAGUAUGUCAGGGCGGACGCACUCUAUCGCCUGCACGACCAGGGGGCAGAACUGCCUAAGGACGUGCCCAUCCUACCUGCCUCAUGUGUUGUGGAUCCUGUCUCCUGGGACAUCGACGCUGACAUCCAACACGCAGGGAGAUGGGACCCCGCAACAGCAACAAGACCUACAUACCCUGGAGAGUGUGGGGCUGUUUGGUGAACUGGGUGCACACCGGACCAGCCACCAACCAUCCGGGCAUCAACCAGACCUUGGAGGCGCAAAGAGCAAAGUAUCGGUGGCCUGGAAUGGGGAGGACUGUGCAGCACUACGCCAUGUCAUGCACACAGUCUAAGGCACUGCGAAUAGCUCGAGCAGGGAAACUCCAUCCUCUCCCAGUGCCUGAGCGGCCCUAGUCACACCUGGCGGUGGACUUCCUCACAGACAGCAGAAAGGAAAACUAUCUCUCGCCAUGGUGGUGGACAGGUUCCCCAAAAUGGUCAGGUAAAUCCCACUACCUGGCCUCUCCUCUACUCUCCAGGUCGCUGAGGUGUUCCUCCGGUUCCUCCGGUCUGCAUGGACCGUCCAGGUGAGUGGACACGCUUUCUCCCCUGCGCCAUUCCUCCACAAGUCUGACCCCCUUCUUGGUGGUACCCAGGUUCCAGCCUCCGUUGUGCCCCUGGAUAGGGAGCUCCAGCAACAUCCAAGCUGUGGUGUAGUGGUUCGGGAAGUCAGACAAGGUCUGGUCCACCACCCACAUCCGCCUGCAGGAGGCAGUGCGGCGCCAGAAGGAGGAGGCAGAGGAGCAACACCCCCGAGUACCAUGGGCCCCGGUCAGUGGUUUGUGGUCCGCUGGGGGGAUCCGGCUCUGCAGGGGCAUCUCCACCGCUGGUGGAGGUAGCUGGGGGUCCAGUGUACCCGGUGGAGUCGAUCCUGGACUCCCGGCUGCAGUGGAGCCGGGUCCAGUACCUGGUGGACUGGGGGGUUAUGGCCCUGAGGAACGCAACUGGGUCCGGGCGGUUGACAUCUGCAACCCCUCAAUGACAUCAGACUUCCAUGCUCACCGCCCGGAUCAGCUUGCUCCUCAACCUCCAGGUCAAUUGAGGCGCUGGCGAGUUGCGGCGUCCGGAGUCGCACCUUGGGUGGAUUACUGUGAUUUCUGCUCUGCAUGACAUGGCAGCACCCCUUCAGUAGGUUUAAACAUAGUUUAGAAUAGUUUUGCCCCAAUUCACCAUUAUGUAAUUUCGCAACAUUAUUAUUCAAUAGACAAAUGCUUUUCAGUUGCUUAUUUGUCACAUCAACUCUGAUCAA